ACCGAGUCGACAUUCGUCUGACGCUCAGUGCGCUGUCAAAAUCGAGCAAAACGUCAUCCGCGUCAAGAUCGACCAAACUCCCGUCCGUCGUGCGCGUGACUUUCCCGCAGGGCUCACCGUUUUUCUUCAUCAGUCUCGCGGAACGGCAGCAGCACAAAACGUCAUUCACUCUCAUCUUUAUAUUUUUCCAACCAACCAGUCGUCGCCUACCGAAAGUGUUAAUUUUCGUGCUUUUCCGGGAGUUAAACUGCGUCCCGGGUGUCCGCCACGGUCUGCCAACCGCUCGUAGUCGCGAAAUGUGCUGAUAUCGAUUGGAAUCCGAUCCCCCCAGAGUCCGAAUAUUUUUGUGAUAUUAGCGUUUAGCCAGGCGCGCGGAAGGUCGGAGGAGCAGCAGCAGAAAGGUGCAGAGCAGUGUUCUCCCGUGUUUUCCAUUCAUCACCAAAACAACACCAUUCUGGACCACUGUGCAGUGUGUGAGUGAGCAGCAGCGUUGUGAAAAAUAUAAGGAAGGAAGCAAACACGAGAAAAUUACAUAAAGAAAACCGAAUAGGAAACCCGGAGGAUUUUCUGCGAGGUGCUGCCUGGUUCGCGCGGUUGCGGGGAAAAACGGAUUAAAACAGCUGACCGGUUAUUCAACUGCGUGAACCGCAAGAGGACUGGCCGGAGUUUAUCCUCUCCGUCGCGUUCCCGUUCGGCAAAUUCUCUGAGGAACCCAAGAGGAAGGGCACUGCCUGUGUGCGUGUGACGAAGCAGAAUGUCCACUCCUGCCCGUAGACGUCUGAU